rnacentral:rRNA from 1 species
GAGUUUGAUCUUGGCUCAGGAUGAACGCUGGCGGCGUGCCUAAUACAUGCAAGUCGAGCGAACAGACGAGGAGCUUGCUCCUCUGACGUUAGCGGCGGACGGGUGAGUAACACGUGGAUAACCUACCUAUAAGACUGGGAUAACUUCGGGAAACCGGAGCUAAUACCGGAUAAUAUAUUGAACCGCAUGGUUCAAUAGUGAAAGGCGGUUUUGCUGUCACUUAUAGAUGGAUCCGCGCCGCAUUAGCUAGUUGGUAAGGUAACGGCUUACCAAGGCAACGAUGCGUAGCCGACCUGAGGGGUGAUCGGCCACACUGGAACUGAGACACGGUCCAGACUCCUACGGGAGGCAGCAGUAGGGAAUCUUCCGCAAUGGGCGAAAAGCCUGACGGAGCAACGCCGCGUGAGUGAUGAAAGGUCUUCGGAUCGUAAAAACUCUAGUUAUUAGGGAAGAACAAAAUGUGUAAGUAAUAUGCACGUCUUGACGGUACUAAAUCAGAAAGCCAACGGCUAACUACGUGCCAGCCGCC